rnacentral:rRNA from 1 species
UACGAAGGGGGCUAGCGUUGCUCGGAAUUACUGGGCGUAAAGCGCACGUAGGCGGUCUUUUAAGUCGGGGGUGAAAUCCUGGAGCUCAACUCCAGAACUGCCUUCGAUACUGGAAGACUUGAGUCCGGGAGAGGUGAGUGGAACUGCGAGUGUAGAGGUGAAAUUCGUAGAUAUUCGCAAGAACACCAGUGGCGAAGGCGGCUCACUGGCCCGGUACUGACGCUGAGGUGCGAAAGCGUGGGGAGCAAACAGGGAUUAGAA